UACAUCAAGAGUUGGGCUGACGCCCUCGCCAACCUGCUGAUCGAGCAAGGUGGUUUUCCUGCAAGGUAGAUGUGGCUUUUAAGGCAAUUAAACGUG
rnacentral:ncRNA from 1 species